GACGCUGCGGACUUAAAAUCCGUUGGCUUUAUUGACCGUGAGGGUUCAAGUCCCUCUACCCCCA
rnacentral:tRNA from 1 species